rnacentral:rRNA from 1 species
GACGAACGCUGGCGGCGUGCUUAACACAUGCAAGUCGAACGGAAAGGCCCUGCUUUUGUGGGGUGCUCGAGUGGCGAACGGGUGAGUAACACGUGAGUAACCUGCCCUUGACUUUGGGAUAACUUCAGGAAACUGGGGCUAAUACCGGAUAGGAGCUCCUGCUGCAUGGUGGGGGUUGGAAAGUUCCGGCGGUGGGGGAUGGACUCGAGGCUUAUCAGCUGGUUGGUGGGGUAGUGGCUUACCAAGGCUUUGACGGGUAGCCGGCCUGAGAGGGUGAACGGGCACAUUGGGACUGAGAUACGGCCCAGACGGCUACGGGAGGCAGCAGGGGGGAAUAUUGCACAAUGGGCGGAAGCCUGAUGCAGCAACGCCGCGUGCGGGAUGACGGCCUUCGGGUUGUAAACAGCUUUCGCCUGUGACGAAGCGUGAGUGACGGUAAUGGGUAAAGAAGCACCGGCUAACUACGUG